rnacentral:rRNA from 1 species
UCUCUUGGCUAUACCACCCUGAAUGCACCCAAUCUCAUCUGAUCUUGGAAGUUAAGCAGGGUCAGGUCUGGUUAGUACUUGCAAGAAUGGGAGACAAUCUGGAACUAUUGGGUGCUGUAGGGU